GAUGAACGCUGGCGGCGUGCCUAAUACAUGCAAGUCGAGCGAACAGACGGGGAGCUUGCUCCUCUGACGUUAGCGGCGGGCGGGUGAGUAACACGUGGAUAACCUACCUAUAAGACUGAGAUAACUUCGGGAAACCGGAGCUAAUACCGGAUAAUAUAAUGAACCGCAUGGUUCAAUAGUGAAAGACGGUUUUGCUGUCACUUAUAGAUGGAUCCGCGCCGCAUUAGCUAGUUGGUAAGGUAACGGCUUACCAAGGCAACGAUGCGUGGCCGACCUGAGAGGGUGAUCGGCCACACUGGAACUGAGACACGGUCCAGACUCCUACGGGAGGCAGCAGUAGGGAAUCUUCCGCAAUGGGCGAAAGCCUGACGGAGCAACGCCGCGUGAGUGAUGAAGGUCUUCGGAUCGUAAAACUCUGUUAUUUGGGAAGAACAAAUGUGUAAGUAACUAUGCACGUCUUGACGGUACCUAAUCAGAAAGCCCCGGCUAACUACGUG
rnacentral:rRNA from 1 species